rnacentral:lncRNA from 1 species
CUUAGAAAAAGCCAAAACCCAGAUGAGUGGCACUUUGUUUUGUUAGGGACUGCUUGGCCCCUGGUGGGGAUAAGGAAUAAGGAGGCCACCCUUAUUCCUCAUCCUUCCACAUCAAGACAAAACCCCAAACUAACGAUUAUAGCUAUAAAUCUGUGGCAGUAACACCUAAGGAAAAAAAAAAAAAACAAAAAAAAAAACAAAAAAAAAAAAAAAAAAAAAAAAAGAAAAGAAAGAA